AUGAGCACCUGGGCCUUCCCGGCGGCCCUUCUCCUCCUCUGCCUGACUUCGGAAAGCCUGCAAGGCGGGCUACCUCUAUUGUCUCCUGGCCUGGGGAAAGGCUUAGGAGGCUUGAAUGGCUAUCGAUCAGGCUACGGCUCCCCCAGUGGUCUAGGAGCAGGAUUCAGGAAUGGGCGAGGGCUGGGAGCCCAGCCAGGCCCUCCAGCUCAGAAUGGCUACGGAACAGGCAUCGGAGGGGGUGUGAAGCCCCAGAAGCUGGGUGUCUCCCCAGGGUUUAGCAAUGGGAAUGGGCUGGGAGUCGGGGCCUUCCCAGGUGCUGCUGUCCAGCCAGCUCAUGGAGCCCCAGGAAGAGGCUGGAUCCCUGGGGUCCCCCCAUCUACUGCAUCCUUCUCCCCAGGCUUUGGAGUGGGGGUGAAACCUCAGAAGCCAGGAUAUGGAAAUGGGCUAGGAGCUGGUGCCUUCCCAGGGCUGGGAGCCCAGCCAGGAUUUGGGAGCAGAAACGGAUUGGGCGUUGGUGCUUUUCCAGGGCCAGGUGUGCUGCCAGGCCCCGGGGCUCAGGAUGGCCAGGGACCAGGAAUUGCAGGGAGUGUGAAACCUCAAAAGCCCGGACUCAGCAAUGGGAAUGGGAUGGGAGUUGGGGCCUUCCCAGGAGUUGGAGCCCAGCCAGGCUUGGGAGGGGGCGUGAAACCUCAGAAACCAGGUCUCGCAGCUCCAAAUGGCUUUGGACCAGGGUUCGGGACCCAGAACGGAGCCCAGCCAGGCCUCGGAGGACUGAAACCUCAGAAGUCAGGCUUCGGAGCAGGCGUGAGACCCCAGAGGCCAGGAUUUGGGAAUGGGAAUGGGCUGGGAACCCAGCCAGGCCCCCCAGCUCAGAAUGGCUACGGAGCAGGCUUUGGAGGGGGUGUGAAAAGUCAGAAACCAGGAUUUGGGAACGGGAACGGAAACGGGCUGGGAGCCCAGCCAGGCCCAGCAUCCCAGCAGGGAUAUGGAGCAGGCUUCGAGGGGAGUGUGCAGCCCCAGGAGCCAGGAUAUGGUAAUGGAGAUGCACUGGGAGCCCAGCCAGGCCCUGCAGCUCAAAACAGCGAUGGAGCAGGCUCGGCAGUAGGCGUGAGACCCCAGAAGCCAGGAUCUGGGAACAGCAAUGGACUGGGCAUCCAGCCAGGGUCUGCGGUUCCCAUCGGCUACGGACCAGGCAUUGCUGAGGCCAUGAAGCCUCAGAAGCCAGUUUACAGGAAUGGGCUGGGAGCCGGAGCCUUCCCAGGUGAAGGGGCCCAGCCAGCUGAGGGGGGCAGGGUCAGGCCCUGGAGUUCUGGGAGGUGGGGAAGAGGAGCACAGGGUGCAUUGGGCAAAGAGCUGGGUCCUGGGGAAGAGAAGGGGCAGGGUGGGGUCCACCUGUCACUCAGCCUCUGUCUGAGCCCUCGGAAGCCAGGUGAGCCGAGCCCUCCUCAUCCCUUUCCUGAACCUCCUCCUGCUCUCCUUCCAGAACCGCUCCCCCCGCCCCCCAAUACUGCCUCUCACAUCCCUGCUUUUCCUCUCCAGGAUACGGCAACGGCAUCGGGCUGGGGGCCCGGCCAGUACCUACUCCAGCCAUCCAGUGGGGACCGAAACUUCAGGAAGCAGGGUACCAGGCUCAGAAUGGCUAUGGACCAGGAGCAGAACUGGGCUUUGGCGGUGGCCUCAAGCCCCAGAAAGUCGGUUUUGGUUAUGGGAAUGGCAGUCUGGCAGCCGGGGUCUUCCCUGAGGCCCGCCCGCAGCCAGGGUUCCCUGGGGCCGAUGGCUUUCAGAAUGGGUAUGAGGAGGCAGCACUUGUGCCCGGCAAAGUGGCCGCUCCAGCCCCUGGAGGAAAUGGUCAGGCCCGGGCCAUGAGGGGCUCUCCCUGGCCCUCCCUCCAGCCCUGGGGGGCCGCCUUGAAGCCUAGAUAUGGGGCCGGAGGGCCUUAUGGGCAGCUGAGGCCAGAGCUGGGCCCUGGGCCCUUGGGCCGCUGCCCUCUUGGGAAAUGCUGAGCACCAGAGCAGAUCCACUGCCCAUCCUGAGCGCCUCUGCAUCAGAGCCUGGUCUGCCAGGCGAGGCUGGCCAGAGCCUCAGGCUUGCCCUCUGGCCUGGAGUCUCCUGCAGGAUGGAAGUAUCAAUAAAGGCAAUGUGCUUCCCUGUUUGUCUCAGUGUGCUACGUGCGGGGA